rfam:Asian citrus Psyllid, Diaphorina citri - Florida Strain, whole genome shotgun sequence.
GCCAGCGGCGAUAGCACGAUGGCUGCACCAGUUCCAGUUCAUCACUGAAGUUAAGCAACGUUGCUCGUGGUUGGUAUCCGGAUGGGUGACCAACUGGGGCAUUCGCAUGCUGCUGUCU